AGAGUUUGAUCUUGGCUCAGAACGAACGCUGGCGGCAUGCCUAACACAUGCAAGUCGAACGGAUCCUUCGGGAUUAGUGGCGGACGGGUGAGUAACACGUGGGAACGUGCCCUUUGGUUCGGAACAACUCAGGGAAACUUGAGCUAAUACCGGAUGUGCCCUUCGGGGGAAAGAUUUAUCGCCAUUGGAGCGGCCCGCGUCUGAUUAGCUAGUUGGUGAGGUAAAGGCUCACCAAGGCGACGAUCAGUAGCUGGUCUGAGAGGAUGAUCAGCCACACUGGGACUGAGACACGGCCCAGACUCCUACGGGAGGCAGCAGUGGGGAAUCUUGCGCAAUGGGCGAAAGCCUGACGCAGCCAUGCCGCGUGAAUGAUGAAGGUCUUAGGAUUAGUAAAAUUCUUUCGACCGGGGACGAUAAUGACGGUACCCGGAGAAGAAGCUCCGGCUAACUUCGUGCCAGCAGCCGC
rnacentral:rRNA from 1 species